rnacentral:rRNA from 1 species
CAGCCGCCGCGGUAAUACGUAGGGUGCAAGCGUUAAUCGGAAUUACUGGGCGUAAAGCGUGCGCAGGCGGUUAUAUAAGACAGAUGUGAAAUCCCCGGGCUCAACCUGGGAACUGCAUUUGUGACUGUAUAGCUAGAGUACGGGAGAGGGGGAUGGAAUUCCGCGUGUAGCAGUGAAAUGCGUAGAUAUGCGGAGGAACACCGAUGGCGAAGGCAAUCCCCUGGGCCUGUACUGACGCUCAUGCACGAAAGCGUGGGGAGCAAACAGGAUUAGAUACCCCGGUAGUCCCUGUCUCUUAUAA